AAGAAGAAGAAGAAGAAGAAGACCCAUUCUUCCUACAGUCCAUUAUAAUCUUAUCUACACCUUGUUAACAAAACUAGCUAUAUCUCUGGCUGCCUAACCAAUUCAGUUUCCACAAAAACACUUACAGCUGAUAAAAACAGAUACCAUUUGCAGGGAAAAAAGCAGGAAAGAAGACAAAAUAGAUUAGUUGUCUCGUAGAAACAUCGAGCAUGUGCAUAAAUAUAUAGUCCUCCACUAGACGCCACUGGCUGUGCCGCCCAUGUGCCAUCAUCGACAAGAAAAGGAAAGAAGAGAAAGAAGGCUCAAUCUUUAUUUAUUCUAUUUUAUAAGAUCUUUUCUUUUCCUUUUAUCUGAGAUAUGGUUUUUCCUAGCAAUUAACAUUCUG
rnacentral:misc_RNA from 1 species